GUUGGUUGGUUUUUCCAUCUCCUCUGAAAAGGACUUGACUCUGGCAGUCAGUGCUUUUGGGUUGGACCAUGGGCUGUAACAGUCCCUAAGCACAUUCAGGUUGUGUGUCCUGGGCCCACUUCCUGCCUCUCCUGACCUUUGCCUCUCAGCUCCUGCCUCUUACAGGCGCACCCAGCUUGGACCCACGGCUGCGGCUGGACCUUCAGCUCCUGGGUCUUGUUGAUCUUCACACCAAGCUCUGCAUCCUGGCUUUAUCUCUCCUCAUUUUGGUCUUCAACCUGGUCAACCCAACAUUGAGCCAGGGUUUCCAAGCCCAAGGGGCCUAAGAGAAUAAAGCAUGGCAUGCUUGUUUAACAAGGACAGCCCAGGAGAUGGGCAACUCAAAAAAACCCAAUGGCAAGGAAGACUCCCAGGAACCAAGAAUCACGCAGUGUGCAUAGUGGAUACAACAUGAGCCUUGUGGCCAAACAAAAUUGCUCUGAUCCUAGAUCUGCUGCUAACUGUGUCAUCUGAGCCAGAUAUUGAACUCUUCUGAGCUUUUUUUUGUUAUUUGUAACGCGAGGACAACAUAAUAGCCCGCAUGGAUUUAUUGGGAGGAUUAAAUGAGAUCUUGUAUAUAGAAGUCCUUGCAUACACCUGACUUGUGGCAUGUGACUUUCAAUCCCUGGCCUAAGAUUCCCUGAACUUGAGGGAAGAUUUGUUUCUGCACAUCAUGUGGCUGCUGCUGGAGGCUGCAUAUCUGAGCUCAGGAGCAGAACACCACUUGGCCUGGGCAGAAACCCAGGCAGGGCAUUGCCACAGAGCAGGCAAGCAUCCAGAUGCCCUGACUGCAACAUGUGCUGAUCUCAAAGGAUGAGGCUGGAUGAAGCCAAGGGCUGUAGAAAAGGAAACUGUUUCAUAGAACUUGACACCAUCUUUAGUAAUUUCCCUGGUUCUUGGUAGCUCCUUUUGGCUGUGUCCCUACCCUGCACAACCCUCCCAGCUAGUCUACUCCGGGGCAGCGUCCAGCUGGUGACCUGAGUGGGCAGCAGUACACCAGUCUCCAUGAAGGUUGAGCUUGGAUGGCCAACAGCAGUUUCCACCUCGCGGUCUACAGCUCUUUCAUCCUGAUUGCAUGGAGGUUGGUCUCUCUCUUCAGCUGGAUUUAGGC
rnacentral:lncRNA from 1 species